GGUGUUCAAAACAUACCGUGCUGGGACAUUUGUUUUCUUUCGGAUACUUAUCCCUUUUUGGCUUAGCCACUACUAUGUCAAAUAUCAUCUGUUGCCAUGGCCCUAUGGCAUUGUGGAAGUAAAGCCAAGGAUAUUCCCAGGUGACACAAUUUUGGAAACGGGUGAGGUUGUUCCCCCAUUGGAAAUCCCAAGCAGUCAUCAUUAAGAGGCUCAAAGACGUCUGAAAGCUCUGAACACUGUUCUCUCCCCCUCCCCCUACCUAUAUAAUGUAAUGC